UACGUAGGUGGCAAGCGUUGUCCGGAAUUAUUGGGCGUAAAGCGCACGUAGGCGGCCUUGUAAGUCGGAUGUGAAAUCCCACGGCUCAACCGUGGACGUGCAUUCGAAACUGCUCGGCUCGAGUAUGGAAGAGGGUCGCGGAAUUCCCGGUGUAGAGGUGAAAUUCGUAGAUAUCGGGAGGAACACCAGUGGCGAAGGCGGCGACCUGGGCCAAUACUGACGCUGAGGUGCGAAAGCGUGGGGAGCAAACAGG
rnacentral:rRNA from 1 species